CGCGGGGUCCCCGGCUUCCCCCGCGGGGUCCUGCGAGAGACGGAGGAGCGCAGACGGAAGAGGUGGUCGCGCCCCGGGGCGAGUACAGCGCUACCCGAGUCGGAAGGCCUGGGGCGGAAUGCAAGCGUCGCGAGCGAAGGGUCCACAGUGCGCCUCGCAGCCGUCCGCGGCUCCGGAGACGCCGCAGCGUGGCCAUGGGGUUCGGGCACAGGUGGUGUCGGGCGCCUGGGAAAUUAGCUCCUGCAGGCAGAGGUCGCAUUUGCAAACAAAAAGCCUACUAGGAGUUCGGUGGACGCUGGGAAUUACAGUAUUCGUCACCCGCCACGAGAAGGUUUCUGCCAUAGUGUUUAGGAAUCUUUAGAAAAGUAUACUAUAAUACUGUGUAAGUUUAAGGAACUUUACUUGACGCACCCAAGCACCUAGGUGAAGUUUCCGUUCUGGACAAAUCUCUGUCAGAAUAGACUCGGGAAGAGUGCGGGGCGCCACACGGGAACCGCCCGGGUGCGGGCGCUGAGGGCGCCGGAGGGGCCCGCGUGCGGACUCCUGCGGGCCCUGGGGGCUGGGGCAGCGGCGGGAAAGACGGGACGCUCAGGGCUUCAAACCUCCUUGCGCAAGAAGGUCAUACACAAAGUUGGGCCUGUCCAAUAACUGGGACUUCUGAUGAACUAGGUGAAAGUUCUCUAUGAUUCAAGCAGUGACAAGUAAGCUGCCAGGAGGAACAAAGCCUCCUCUGCCAUGCCCUCCCACCAUGAUGUACACCACCUCACCACAGAUCCAAAUGCCCUGGAGCUAAGUGGCCAUGAACUGAACCAUUUGAAAGCAGAAGCUAAAAUAAGAUUCCUCAUAAAUUGAUAAUCCCAGAACAUGCUGUCUGGCUGUAUCGUGAAUCCAGAUCUGGAGAAGAAGUUGACAAGGAUGAGUUAGAUCCGACCUGGGACCAGCCAAAGUGAUGGAGACUACUAUGAAGCAACCCUGAGCAGGACUUAAUUUAACCAAUUGACUUUUUGUGUUUACUUGUGAAUCUGUCUAAA